GAACUUAAGCAUAUCAAUAAGCGGAGGAAAAGAAACCAACAGGGAUUGCCUCAGUAACGGCGAGUGAAGCGGCAACAGCUCAAAUUUGAAAUCUGGCCCCGUCGGGGUCCGAGUUGUAAUUUGUAGAGAGUGUUUCGGGUGAGACCACGGUCUAAGUCCAUUGGAACAUGGCGUCAUAGAGGGUGAGAAUCCCGUAUGUGACUGUGGCUCGAGCCCAUGUGAAGCCUCUUCGACGAGUCGAGUUGUUUGGGAAUGCAGCUCAAAAUGGGUGGUAAAUUUCAUCUAAAGCUAAAUACUGGCUGGAGACCGAUAGCGCACAAGUAGAGUGAUCGAAAGAUGAAAAGCACUUUGGAAAGAGAGUCAAAAAGUACGUGAAAUUGUUGAAAGGGAAGCGCUUGCAACCAGACCUGUCCGUAGGUGAUCAGCCGCUGUUCUCAGCGGUGCACUCGCUCUGCGAUCAGGCCAGCAUCGGUUCCGGCGGUCGGAUAAAGGCCUUGGGAAUGUAGCUCCUCUCGGGGAGUCUUAUAGCCCUCGGUGCAAUGCGGCCAGCCGGGACCGAGGACCGCGCUUCGGCUAGGAUGCUGGCGUAAUGGUUGUAAGCGACCCGUCUUGAAACACGGACCAAGGAGUCUAACAUCAAUGCGAGUGUUUGGGUGUUAAACCCAUGCGCGGAAUGAAAGUGAACGGAGGUGAGAACCCGUUAGGGCGCAUCAUCGACCGAUCCAGAUGUCUUCGGAUGGAUUUGAGUAUGAGCAUUGCUGUUGGGACCCGAAAGAUGGUGAACUAUGCCUGAAUAGGGUGAAGCCAGAGGAAACUCUGGUGGAGGCUCGCAGCGGUUCUGACGUGCAAAUCGAUCGUCAAAUUUGGGUAUAGGGGCGAAAGACUA
rnacentral:rRNA from 1 species